CAGAUAUUAGUUUAAAAAAAAUUUUAAUUUUGGAGAUUAAAGAUAUUUAUAUAUUUUAUAUCUGA
rnacentral:tRNA from 1 species